UACGUAGGUGGCAAGCGUUGUCCGGAAUUAUUGGGCGUAAAGCGCGCGCAGGUGGUUUCUUAAGUCUGAUGUGAAAGCCCACGGCUCAACCGUGGAGGGUCAUUGGAAACUGGGGAACUUGAGUGCAGGAGAGAAGAGUGGAAUUCCACGUGUAGCGGUGAAAUGCGUAGAGAUGUGGAGGAACACCAGUGGCGAAGGCGGCUUUCUGGUCUGUAACUGACGCUGAGGCGCGAAAGCGUGGGGAGCAAACAGG
rnacentral:rRNA from 1 species